rnacentral:tRNA from 1 species
GCAGUGGUGGGUCAGUGGUAGAAUUCUCACCUUCCAUGUGGGAGAUCUAGGUUCAGUUAAUUCCUGGCCAAUGCG